AUGAUAUCACCUCAGAAGCCACACCCUUGUCCAGAGAUGAAAAGCAUCUCCGUUGGUGUUGCCCUCACUGCUGCCUGGAUGUUUCUCACUGCACCGCAUGCCUGCGGCUGGAUCGCCCCACAGCCCAACCAAAACGUCUGGGUGACUUUAGCAAAGACGCUAAAACAAGAUAAUCUGUGUUUAUCCAUGGGCAACCUUGAUAACCCACUUUCCACCUGUUUAGUAGGAAUUCCUUUGGUAGCAGAUGAUUGGUCAGUUUAUAACUCAGAACUCCUUCGCACCACAGGUAAGAAACCCAAUCCAGUGGACAAUUGGGAUGUGUGGACAAAAAUGCUGCCAAAUGCGCAGGAGGAGCCCCAAGAAUUGGAUUUGUUGGGGUCCUCCAGGGCAACAUUUUGUGUCAAAUUUUACUUUAGACGCCCAAGACAAAAUUUUGCCAAUUUGGAUUUGACAAAAAACACAUACCGAAAAGAUAUCUCUCCCAUCAACAAAGCUUACAAUUCCCCGGAUUGGUGCAAUUACACUGCCCACACACUUUCAGAAUCCUCUCUCCACCCCAAAACUUUGCCCAGAGGAAUGUUUCUUAUCUGUGGUGAUCGAGUUUGGGCCGGAAUUCCCUCCCGCCUUCAGGGAGGACCCUGUAGCCUCAGUAGGCUUUCUACCCUCACCCCAAACAUCACUCUGUUGCACAAUUGGAGAAAAGAUAGCGAAUCAAAACGCGAAAAAAGAUCCUACACUGAAUAUGAAGAAAGUUGUGACCCUAAAUUGUACAAUUGGAACAAACCCAAAAGAGUUACUGUCUCCCUCUUUCUACCCUGGGUAGCAGCAGCAAAAGCCCUUGGCAAAAUUGAUCAUUUGGGGUGCUGACUUAGUAAGCAGGCCAACGCUACAUCUGCUGCCCUGAGUGACCUCUUGAAAGACGAAGAAACCACAAGAUAUGCCUCUCUGCAAAAUCGUGCUGCAAUCGACUUCCUGCUGCUCGCCCAUGGACAUGGCUGCCAAGACUUUGAAGGGAUGUGCUGCUUCAACCUCUCCUCCCGCUCCAUAUCCAUCCAUGCCAACAUCCAGAAGCUGCACGAACUCGUGAAGGACGUGAAAAAGAAAACCACCUCCGACUGGGCCCAUGACCUUUUUGGUCAAUGGGGACUGACGGGAUGGGCUGCAUCUUUGGUCAAGGGAAUUUUGUGGAUUUUGAUUGUAGUUGUUAUUGUGUUAGUUAUGUUUGCAUGCUUUGCUCAAUGCUUCAAGAAAGUUACAAAAAGCGUCUUUUUAGUAAAUACAGAGAGGAAUUGUGGAUGAUACAAUUUCUCCAAAGUCUUCUGCUUCUGGCCCCUGGAACUUGCUAUAAUGGAUAAGGUGUCCUGGAUACCAAGGUUGAGCCAAAUUCCUUAAGAAUUUGGUCACUCUCCUAACACCUCGGAAGAUAAUUGGUUAGAAAUUACGAUGUUUAAUUGGUCAGUUUCUGUUCUUUGUAUAAACUUCUAUUGGUUGUAGUUGGAUCCUUCCUGAACCUAUAAAUAUAAGUGUCUGCCCUUUGUUCUGAGAGAAUACUGCUGAC
rnacentral:lncRNA from 1 species